rnacentral:rRNA from 1 species
UCCGGUUGAUCCUGCCGGACCCUACUGCUAUCGGGGUGGGACUAAAACAUGCAAGUCGAGCGUCUCCUAGCCAUGGUGGAGGCGCGGCGUACAGCUCAGUAACACGUGGCUAACCUACCCUUGGGACGGGAACACCCCCGGGAAACCACGCACAGACCUUGACGACAUAAACACAAAUUCUCAAAAAAUCCAAAAACCCCAUAACAUAAACAAACAUUUCACUACACCGCCUUGCCGAUUUCUAAGCUGGCAAAGGCUAUCUUAAAUUAACCAAAACCCACACACAACCUUCUAAGAAUAGAAACUUAAGGCUCUGGCGUAGCCCAAAACUGGGGUUAAUUCUCGAUGGGUGAGGAGGCCUGGAAUGGUUCCUCACUGAAAGGGCGCUAGAGGCAUGCUCUCUAACGUUGCCCAAGGAUGGGGCCGCGGCCGAUCAGGUUGUUGGUGAGGUAACGGCUUACCAAGCCUAUAACCGGUACGGGCCGUGAGAGCGGAAGCCCGGAGAUGGGCACUGAGAUAAGGGCCCAGGCCCUACGGGGCGCAGCAGUUGCGAAAACUCCGCAAUGCACGAAAGUGUGACGGGGCUACCCCGAGUGCCGUCCGCUGAGGAUGGCUUUUCUCCGCUGUAAGGAGGCGGAGGAAUAAGGAGAGGGCAAGACUGGUGUCAGCCGCCGCGGUAAUACCAGCUCUCCGAGUGGUAGGGGUGAUUAUUGGGCUUAAAGCGUCCGUAGCCGGCCUGGCAAGUCUUCCGUUAAAUCCAGCAACCUAAUUGUUGGGCUGCGGGGGAUACUGUUAGGCUAGGGGGCGGGAGAGGCCGACGGUAUUCUCGGGGUAGGGGUGAAAUCUUAUAAUCCCGGGAGGACCACCAGUGGCGAAGGCUGUCGGCUAGCACGCGCCUGACGGUGAGGGACGAAAGCUGGGGGAGCGAACCGGAUUAGAUACCCGGGUAGUCCCAGCUGUAAACGAUGCGAGCUAGGUGUUGGGGCGGCUACGAGCCGCUUCAGUGCCGCAGCGAAGGCGUUAAGCUCGCCGCCUGGGGAGUACGGCCGCAAGGCUGAAACUUAAAGGAAUUGGCGGGGGAGCAC